rnacentral:hammerhead_ribozyme from 1 species
GCACUGCUGAGGAGUCCCACAAUAGGACGGAACGACAGUCCAGUGC